ensembl:miRNA
GGGACACCACAUGCGCAGUACAUGCUGUACAUUACUCUUCUCAAGAAGGUGACAUUCAUAUUUUAGUUGACAUGAAUGACAGCUCCUUGUGAAGGGCACUGCAUGCUGAAUGGCUGAAUGUGGCAUCCC